CUACGGGACGCUGCAGUGAGGAAUAUUGGUCAAUGGAGGCAACUCUGAACCAGCCAUGCCGCGUGAAGGAUGACGGCCCUAUGGGUUGUAAACUUCUUUUGAAUAGGAAGAAACUUAUCUACGUGUAGAUAACUGACGGUACUAUUAGAAUAAGGAUCGGCUAACUCCGUGCCAGCAGCCGCGGUAAUACGGAGGAUCCAAGCAUUAUCCGGAUUCAUUGGGUUUAAAGGGUCCGUAGGCGGGUCUUUAAGUCAGUGGUGAAAGCCGACAGCUCAACUGUCGAACUGCCAUUGAUACUGGAGACCUUGAGUACAAAUGAAGUAGGCGGAAUGAGUCAUGUAGCGGUGAAAUGCAUAGAUAUGACUCAGAACACCGAUUGCGAAGGCAGCUUACUAACAUGUAACUGACGCUGAGGGACGAAAGCGUGGGGAGCGAACAGGAUUAGAUACCCCCGUAGUC
rnacentral:rRNA from 1 species